CAGGACGAACGCUGGCGGCAUGCCUAACACAUGCAAGUCGAACGGGGGUAGCAAUACCCUAGUGGCGAACGGGUGAGUAACACAUAAGCAAUCUGCCCUUCACAGGGGGAUAACAGCGGGAAACUGCUGCUAAUACCGCAUAAGACCACAGUACCGCAUGGUACAGGGGUAAAAACGAAUCAGUGGUGAAGGAUGAGCUUAUGUCCCAUUAGCUAGUUGGUGAGAUAACAGCCCACCAAGGCGACGAUGGGUAGCCGACCUGAGAGGGUGAUCGGCCACACUGGAACUGAGACACGGUCCAGACUCCUACGGGAGGCAGCAGUGGGGAAUAUUGGGCAAUGGAAGGAAACUCUUACCCAGCAAUGCCGCGUGAGUGAAGAAGGUCUUCGGAUUGUAAAGCUCUUUGAUUGGGGACGAAGAAAGUGACGGUACCCAAAGAACAAGCCCCGGCUAACUACGUGCCAGCCGCCGC
rnacentral:rRNA from 1 species